UAAUUCCAUUGUGUGUGUGUCUAUUUAUUGAGGCUCUGCUUUGGGGCAACAUUUUGGGGUGCAGGCCCCCUAUAUCCCCUGUGCUCCCUCCAGAGGCUCCAGGGGAGGGUCCUUCCUGCCUCUUCCAGCUUCUGGGGGCUCCAGGUGGCCCUGGGCUGGUGGCUGCCUCCCUCCCAUCUCUGCCUCCAUCUUCCCGUGGCUUCUCCUCCUCUGUCUCUUAGGAGGACACUGUCCUUGGAUGGAGGGCCCCCUCAUCCAGGAGGACCUCCUCUCAGACCCUUCCCGUGGCUUCUCCUCUGUGUCUUCUGUUAUGGGGAUACUCGUUAUUAGGUUGAGGGCCCCUCCUCAUCCAGGAGGACCUGGUCCCUGGCACACAGCUCUUAAACCAUAGCAAGUUCUUGAUCCCUGUGAGCAGAGCAUCUUUAGUUUUUCCUAAGACAGCCAAGCACACCUGUUUAUGCUAAUGAGCUGGGGCUGGUUGCCUGUCUGACUAUAUUUAUUCCUGAACCUGUGUGUGUCUGGGAUGCAUCUAUUUCUGCAUUUGAGUCUCUUUUUAGGUGUCUCUGCCUGUGUUUAUAGGUUUGUGUCUAUAUUUUUGCAUCUGUUGCUGUUUUUAGAUUCCUGUGUUUACAUUCUGUGUCUAUAUUCCUGCAUCUGUGGGUCUGCUUAUACAUCUGUGUCCGUGUGUGUCCCUUUGUGUCUGUGCACAUCCCUGUGGCUCCCCCCACCCUCCCCCAGGCCUCUCUUGGCAGCCCCUUGUCAACUCUCCUCUCCCCACAGCCAUGUCACCCAGCAUGUUUUCUCUGGGCCAGGGGGCUCUGGCCUUAAAGCUUGAUUUGGGGCCGAUGCUGCAUUUCCUGUGGGGCUGUGUGAACCCUGUUCUCUGCUCUGCAUGGUCCUUCUGUUUCAGGCAGUGAGGACACAGGGCCAGGGUGGUUGGGAUUGGACAGAGAUUAACUAGAAAGCAGAACACACAGCUGUCUUCCCUCCUAAGAGAACAGACCAGCCCUGCACAGUGAUGCCCUAGCUGGAAAUGUUUACAAAGCUGUAAGGAUAGCAGUGAAAAAGGUCUAGUUCAAGUUCAGACGCUGUCCACUUAGUAAAAUGACUUUUUAAAUUGUAAUUUUGUGAAUUAAAAAACCUAUUUCAAAUUUUAGAGUUCUUUCAAUUUUGCAAAUUUUAUUUUGGCUGCCCGAGGCUUACGGAGUUCCUGGGCCAGGGAU
rnacentral:lncRNA from 9 species